rnacentral:rRNA from 1 species
AUACGGAGGAUCCGAGCGUUAUCCGGAUUUAUUGGGUUUAAAGGGUGCGCAGGCGGGAGAUUAAGUCGGCGGUGAAAUUUUGCAGCUCAACUGUAAAAGUGCCUUCGAAAAUGGGUUUCUUGGGUGGAGAUGAAAUAGGCGGAAUUUGGGGUGUCACGGUGAAAUGCAUAGAUAUCACGAGGAACUCCGAUUGCGCAGGCAGCUUACUAAACUACUACUGACGCUCAGGCACGAAGGCGUGGGGAUCAAACAGGAUUAGAUACCCUGGUAGUCCACGCAGUAAACGAUGAUUACUAGCUGUUUGCGAUACAAUGUAAGCGGCUGAGCGAAAGCGUUAAGUAAUCCACCUGGGGAGUACGUUCGCAAGAAUGAAACUCAAAUGAAUUGACGGGG